rnacentral:rRNA from 1 species
AACGAACGCUGGCGGCGUGCCUGAGACAUGCAAGUCGUGGGAGAACGUCGGAGCAAUCCGGCUAGUAAACCGGCGCACGGGUGAGUAACACGUGGACAACCUGCCCUGGAGACUGGGAUAACCCGUCGAAAGACGGGCUAAUACCGGAUAAGACCACGAGGGGUUCGCCCCUUGGGGUAAAAGGUGGCCUCUGCUCCUGCAAGCUAAUACUUCAGGAAGGGUCCGCGUCCUAUCAGCUAGUUGGUGAGGUGACGGCUCACCAAGGCGAAGACGGGUAGCUGGUCUGAGAGGAUGGUCAGCCACACUGGGACUGAGACACGGCCCAGAGUCCUACGGGAUGCAGCAGUCAGGAAUAUUGCGCAAUGGAGGAAACUCUGACGCAGCGACGCCGCGUGGGUGAUGAAGGCCUUCGGGUCGUAAAGCCCUGUCGGAGGGGAAGAAAAGCUUGCUGGCUAAUAUCCAGCAGGCCUUUGAUGGUACCCUCAAAGGAAGCACCGGCUAACUCCGUGCCAGCAGCCGCGGUAAGACGGAGGGUGCAAGCGUUGUUCGGAUUGACUGGGCGUAAAGGGCGUGUAGGCGGUUGCCCAAGUCCGAUGUGAAAGCCCGAGGCCUACCCUCGGAAGUGCAUCGGAAACUAGGCAGCUGGAGCGCGAUAGAGGAGGGUAGAAUUCCUGGUGUAGCGGUGAAAUGCGUAGAUAUCAGGAGGAAUACCGGCGGCGAAGGCGGCCCUCUGGAUCGUUGCUGACGCUGAGACGCGAAAGCGUGGGGAGCAAACAGGAUUAGAUACCCUGGUAGUCCACGCUGUAAACGAUGGGUACUAGGUGUUCGGGGUAUUGACCCCCUGAGUGCCGCAGUUAACGCA